UUUAUGGAGAGUUUGAUCCUGGCUCAGAGUGAACGCUGGCGGCGUGCCUAAUACAUGCAAGUCGAACGAUGAAGCUUCUAGCUUGCUAGAAGUGGAUUAGUGGCGCACGGGUGAGUAAGGUAUAGUUAAUCUGCCCUACACAAGAGGACAACAGUUGGAAACGACUGCUAAUACUCUAUACUCCUGCUUAACACAAGUUGAGUAGGGAAAGUUUUUCGGUGUAGGAUGAGACUAUAUAGUAUCAGCUAGUUGGUAAGGUAAUGGCUUACCAAGGCUAUGACGCUUAACUGGUCUGAGAGGAUGAUCAGUCACACUGGAACUGAGACACGGUCCAGACUCCUACGGGAGGCAGCAGUAGGGAAUAUUGCGCAAUGGGGGAAACCCUGACGCAGCAACGCCGCGUGGAGGAUGACACUUUUCGGAGCGUAAACUCCUUUUCUUAGGGAAGAAUUCUGACGGUACCUAAGGAAUAAGCACCGGCUAACUCCGUGCCAGCA
rnacentral:rRNA from 2 species